rnacentral:rRNA from 1 species
CCCUAUUGUUAGUUGCCAUCAUUCAGUUGGGCACUCUAGCGAGACUGCCGGUAAUAAACCGGAGGAAGGUGGGGAUGACGUCAAAUCAUCAUGCCCCUUAUGACCUGGGCUACACACGUGCUACAAUGGUUGGUACAACGAGUUGCGAGUCGGUGACGGCGAGCUAAUCUCUUAAAGCCAAUCUCAGUUCGGAUUGUAGGCUGCAACUCGCCUACAUGAAGUCGGAAUCGCUAGUAAUCGCGGAUCAGCACGCCGCGGUGAAUACGUUCCCGGGCCUU